rnacentral:lncRNA from 1 species
ACACUGGAAUGACAAAGAUGAAGUUGAAAAUAUUCAAAAUACACAUUUAGCUCAACAACUUGUUAGAGUAAUGAGCAGUUCCUUUUAAAACAGGACAUUCUAUAACAUAAAUGACUUAUCUAAGUGCAUCAAUCUUUCCCUUAGACCAUCAGGAAACCUUUUUUCCUCCUGGGAUUUGGCAUAGAUCAAGGUUUGAAAGUAGUUGUUGUUGUUGUUGUUUUUCCAUUGCUUUGCCCUUUUGAGAAAAUUUAAAUUUUGUGUUCAUGACUGUAUAUAAUAGAGAUAAAUUGUAGCUACAGGUUAAUAUGUCCUGAACGUGACCUGAGAAUGUAAUUUUUCUUCAUUCAAGAAAAUGAAGAAAAUUUCUGAUUUGAGAAAACUGUUGAAUUGUUCUAUACGUACUUGUUUUUGCAGUUAAUUACAAAGAAAGCAAGAAGUUACUUUAGAAUAGAAAAGAAAAUCUUCCAGAAUCUAAAGUUUGCAUUGCAAUAAGAUCCACUGGCAGAAUAAUUUUUGCUUCUUUUUUUUUGAGACGGAGUCUCACUCUGCCGCCCAGGCUGGAGUGCAGUGGCCGGAUCUCAGCUCACUGCAGGCUCCGCCUCCCGGGUUCACGCAAUUCUCCUGCCUCAGCCUCCCCAGUAGCUGGGACUACAGGCUCGCCACCCUCGCCCGGCUAGUUUUUUUUGUAUUUUUUAGUAGAGACGGGGUUUCACCGUGUUAGCCAGGAUGGUCUCGAUCUCCUGACCUCGUGAUCCGCCCGCCUCGGCCUCCCAAAGUGCUGGGAUUACAGGCUUGAGCCACCGCGCCCGGCCAAUUUUUGCUUCUUAAUGAGCUGGUUUUCAUAUGUGAAGCCUUGUACUGAUCAACUCCAGGAUAUGACAGAUUUCCAUGGCUGGAGAUCUAGAAUACAUGGAACUCCUGGGCUGGGGUAAGUCUUGGAGGAAUGUCAGUAAGCUGAUAGAAAACCCUAAGAUUCACAUUGUGAUUUUCACGCUUUGACAUUUGGGGCCUUGCUGACUCUGAAGGGACUGCCUUUCCUAGGGUUAACUAAUUCCUUGAGUUAGUAAAUGACUCACCUUCCAGCAUACUUUUCAUAUGCAAACCAACCAAUCUAGAGCCCACACCAGACAACUGCCCCAGGGCCUGCUGAAAUGAUUCAAACUGGCCAGUCCUAAACCUGCUUACCCUGUCUCACUGGUUUCUUUCCUUGGAAACCACAAUAAAGACUCUUGGCCAUGUUUUCCCCUCUCCCUCUGCUUCCAGACUGACCCUGUGCUUCCCUUUGUGUCCUGGUAUGGUGUGGCUUGCCUCUUAUUUCCAGGCAUCUCCCAGGGAGCAUGAAAUCCUUCUUCCUUCAUGAUGGUUGUUUCUUUGUCUGCUUGUCUUACUGUAGUUGACUAAAACAAAUCCUGGGUAUCCUUAAAACAGUUAUCAAGAUUGGAAAGAACACAAUAAUGUACAGGACAAAUAAUGUAAUUAUUUGCCCAGGACAAAUAAUGUAAUUAACCAAAGUCACAAAGGUGGGGGGAAAAAAAAAGAAGAAAAAAAAAAA